UAAUAGAUGUUGGUCCACCCUGUGGUCAGCCA
rnacentral:piRNA from 1 species